rnacentral:rRNA from 1 species
CCUUAGAUCGUACCCACAUUUACUUGGAUAACUGUGGUAAUUCUAGAGCUAAUACAUGCAAACCAGAGUUCCGACCAGAGAUGGAAGGAACGCUUUUAUUAGAUCAAAACCAAUCGGUGGCGGGUUCGCUCGUCCACCGUUUACUUUGGUGACUCUGAAUAACUUUGUGCUGAUCGUACGGCCCAGUGCCGGCGACGCAUCUUUCAAAUGUCUGCCUUAUCAACUGUCGAUGGUAGGUUCUGCGCCUACCAUGGUUGUAACGGGUAACGGGGAAUCAGGGUUCGAUUCCGGAGAGGGAGCCUGAGAAACGGCUACCACAUCCAAGGAAGGCAGCAGGCGCGCAAAUUACCCACUCCCGGCACGGGGAGGUAGUGACGAAAAA